GAGAGAGAGAGAGAGAGAGAGAGAAAGAGAGAGAGAGAGAGAGAAUACAGGAGUCUUACAAGGAGUGUCACAUCCCCACACUCCUACACUCCUGCAUCCCUCCCCCUACCCUGACGCCUCCUCAAGUGUAGUCUCAGCCGCUUCCGUUUCCUUUGUAGCCGCAGCAGUCCGGCAGCUGGGUGGCGCCUCGGACCGUUGUCCUGUCUAAAAGCGUCCGUCUGUGGGGAGUGCUUCACACCCCCUCUGUUAUCUUUGUUCAAACUCGUGUAAGAAAGGGUCUAUGGGGGGCUGGUAACACAACUAGAGCAAGCACGUUCAUUAUUUAUCAUUAUGAGUGUACGUAGCGCAUCAUCAAUUGUCUUAUAAUUUAUUACUUAUGAAUUAUUUGGAACCUUGGAAUAGGACGAGAACGGGGACAUGGACGAGUGUUGUUGUUGUUGCUGUGGUGUGGUGAUGGUGGUGGUAAUGACAGAUAUGAUAGAAGCAUUACACAUGACAGACUCACUCACGUCCCUUGAUGAAAAGUUGUUAUUAAGGUCAUACUUACAAGGUGAAGAGAGAGAGAGAGAGAGAGAGAGAGAGAGAGAGAGAGAGAGAGAGAGAGAGAGAGAGAGAGAGAGAGAGAGAGAGAGAGAUUCA
rnacentral:lncRNA from 1 species